CAGGUCCACUCUCCACUCUCAACUAGUGGCCAGAAUCUCUCCACUCUUUUUUCUUUUUUACAUCUUAUCUCUACACCAACCACUUUUUGGCAUGGGCCGAGACAUUGGACUUGGAGCAUCAAACGCGUCUUUUUGAAAGUGGUGUUCAGAGGUUAACAAACGCACUUUCUGUAAGAAGUAAUUUUCUCAAAAAUCAUAUCCAAAGCACCUUGCUAGUUUGCUUUCUUUGCCUAUAUUAACGCCAUCUAGAAAGCCCUUGUUUUCAACUUGCUCCUGUCCAUGGUCUGUAAUAGAUGAGAGAAACGGAGAGUCCUAGCAAGUCUUUGGAGAUGGGAGAGUAUGCAAGAAGAAAAAAUUCAUGAUUUAAUAUUCCUUCUUGCCUACUCCUCCCAUUCCAUCUGCUUUCUGCGACUCCUCUCUUUCCUUAUUCUAGACAAAAGCGUGAUCUAAAAUUAAUCGAGGAGCAAGAGGGAAAGGAAAGAGGGUUGCUGGGAGUUACGGGUAUGGGAGGAUUGGACAGGACUGCUUGGUUUUAAUUAACCGAAGUCUGUUCUUUCCAACGCCUCCCAUACCGGUGAUCUCCAGCUGCUUCCUCCCUUUCCCUUGCUUGUCCUACUUCAGAUCCUUCAGUUUGGUAAGAUCUGUCCUUGUAUGCUUGUCGUUGGUCACAUGAUGAUGGUGAUGAUGCGUGCUCUUAUUUUGUUUUUUAAAAAAGAGUAUCAUUUCGUUGACUUGUUGAUCUUGCUUUUACCCGGGAUAUUGUUACAUGUCUUGUAUAAUGAUUUUUAUUAGCCCUUUUUUUAUGCUCAGGUGACAAAAGCGAGUUGUUGGUUAUGAGUAUCGUUGAAAAGAUUAGAGGAAGUUUUGAUCUGUUGGUAGAUCUGAGUAAAUCAUUUGUCUAUCUAGCUAGAUUUAACAUUAGCAACUGAUAAAUCAUGUGUUUUGAAAUGUGAACUGUGAUGUUCACAACAUAUCUGUUCGCGCCUCUUCUAUUUCGGGGAUGCUGUCUCAGUUGGUUCUAUACUGCAGUUCUGGAUUAGCUCUGAUGUUCCUUGAUCUGUUCUUUGAAUUUGGAAUUUAUUUUGAGCAUCUGUCCACGCGUUUCGUCUAAUAAUGGGUGACCCCGACAUGAUUCAUACGGUGGGUGGAUGAAAUCAUACCAUACGGGUGUGGUCAGCUUUGUUU
rnacentral:sRNA from 1 species